UACCCUGUAGCAUGCAUUGUGUUUUCAGCCUUUUGAGGCAUUUUCACGUCCAUCAUAGCAUAGGAUUGGGGAGCUAGGAGUCAGAGUGGGUGUGACUCGUGUGUGUUUGGCAGCUGCUCAUUGAGAACCUUUAAGGUCGAGGCUCCCAGUCAGAAUUUUAGGUACCUGCCUGUUGACCUCUGGCUCUAGGAUGUGUGUUUUAGAAACCUGUAUCUAGUGUGCGUGCGUGUGUGCUCACUGGAGCGAGUACUAGGAGGUUGUAGGGAGGAACACCAGGUAUUACAGAAGGGAUCACUAGACUAACAUCACUGAAUAGCUGUAGAUAGGUGAGCAUGCUCUCUUGAGUUUUGUAGUUUUGUUGUUGGUUUGGUUUUUAUUGGUCUUGUCAUACGAUCUGCGUACAUCUCUGAAUCCUUUUUUUUUUUUUUUUGAGUUGAAGUCUCGCCCUUGUCGCCCAGGCUGGAGUGCAA
rnacentral:lncRNA from 1 species